GACAGAGGGUGCAAACGUUGUUCGGAAUUACUGGGCGUAAAGGGCGCGUAGGCGGCUUGGCAAGUGGAAGGUGAAAUCCCUCGGCUUAACCGAGGAACUGCCCUCCAAACUGCUUCGCUUGAGACCGGGAGAGGUGAGUGGAAUUCCCAGUGUAGCGGUGAAAUGCGUAGAUAUUGGGAGGAACACCAGUGGCGAAGGCGGCUCACUGGACCGGUACUGACGCUGAUGCGCGAAAGCGUGGGGAGCAAACGGG
rnacentral:rRNA from 1 species